UAUGGCCAUAUCAUGUUGAAAUGCCAGUUCUCAUACAAUCACCAAAGUUAAGCAAUGUUGAGCCUGUUCAGUACCUAGAUAGGUGAUUACUUCAGAAUACCAGAUGCUGUAA